AUUGAACGCUGGCGGCACGCUUAACACAUGCAAGUCGAACGGUAGCAGGUCCUUCGGGAUGCUGACGAGUGGCGGACGGGUGAGUAAUGCGUAGGAAUCUGCCUAGUUGAGCGGGAUAGCCUAGGGAAACUUAGGGUAAUACCGCAUAAGCCCGAAAGGGGAAAAGCAGGGACCGAAAGGCCUUGCGCGAUUAGAUGAGCCUACGUCGGAUUAGCUAGUUGGUGGGGUAAAAGCCACCAAGGCGACGAUCCGUAGCUGGUCUGAGAGGACGACCAGCCACACUGGGACUGAGACACGGCCCAGACUCCUACGGGAGGCAGCAGUGGGGAAUAUUGGACAAUGGGCGCAAGCCUGAUCCAGCGAUGCCGCGUGUGUGAAGAAGGCCUGCGGGUUGUAAAAGCACUUUCGGUGGGGAGAAUGAACUUGUUCCUAAUAGGGACGAGGGAAGAUGUUACCACAGAAGAAGCACCGGCUAACUCUGUGCCA
rnacentral:rRNA from 1 species